AAGGUAGCAUAAUCAAUUGUCCUUUAAUUGAGGACUAGAAUGAAUGGAUAAAUAAAAAUUAAUCUAUAUAGAAUUCUCCAAUAAAAAUUUACCUUUAGAUGAAAAGGUCUAAAUAAAAAUAAAAGACCAGAAGACCCUAAGAGCUUUUUUUAAAAUAAUUUCCUUCAAUUAAAAAUAAAAUUUGGUUGGGACAACCUAGGAAAUUCAUCCUAUAAAUUAAAAGAAACAUUCUUUAAUCCUUAAAUAAUCUAAUAUUUAAGCUACCUUAGGGAUAACAGGCCUAUAUUAUUUUAUAGUACACAUAAACAAUAAUGUUUGGCACCUCGAUGUUGGCUUGAGAUCACUUUUAAAUGUAGCAGUUUAAAACAGUAGGCUUGUUCAGCCUUUAAAAUCUCACGUGAUCUGAGUUCAGACCGG
rnacentral:rRNA from 1 species